GGGGGUUAAAUUAAUUAAAUAAAUAAUUAAUAAAAGAAAUUUUAAAUUAUAAAUAUAUUUUAAUGGGGGUUAAAGUAUAAUUUAUAGAAAAAAAUUUGAAAAUUUAUAGUUUAGUAAGUAUUGUGAAAGAAAGAUGAAAUAUAUUGAAAAUUAAUUAUUAUAGAAGUAAAUUUAAUUUGUUGUAUCUUGUGUAUCAGAGUUUAUUAAAAAUAUUUUUUGGAAAGAAAAAUCUCGAAUUUAAAAGGGAAAAUUAAUUAAAAAAGUUAUUGUAUCAAAAAUAUUUUAAAUAAUUAAUUUGAAAUGAAAUGUUAUUCGUUUUUAAAUAUAUCUAGUUUUUUUAGAAAUAAAUUUAAUUUAAAAUUUUUUUUUGGUAAAAUUUUUUAUUUAAUUUUACUAAUAAUAAAAUUUAAUAAAUUAAGGGAUAAGCUUUAAUUUACAUUUUUAUAAUUAAUAAUUUUUAAUUAAAAUUUUUAAAAUUUAUAUUGUUUAUAAAUUAUAUUUUUUUAUAAAAAAUUUUAUAAAAUUAUAAAAUUUUUAAUUUAAUAUUUAAUUUUUUAUAAAAAAAUAAUUUUUAAUAAAAAAAAAUUAGGUAUAAUGAUAAAAUUAGUAAAUUUAUAUUUAAGUUUAUAUAUAUAUAUAUAUAUAUAUAUAUAUAUAUUGUAAUUAAUUUAAUUAUAAAUAAAUAAAAGGAAUUCGGCAAAUAUUAAUAUUCACUUGUUUAUCAAAAACAUGUCUUUUUGAUUAUAAUUUAAAGUCUAAUCUGCCCACUGAUAAUAUAAUUGAAGGGCUGCAGUAUAUUGACUGUACAAAGGUAGCAUAAUCAUUAGUCUUUUAAUUGGAGACUUGUAUGAAGGAUUUGAUGAAAUAUUAACUGUCUCUUUUUUAUAAUUUGAAUUUAAUUUUUUAGUUAAAAAGCUAAAAUGUUUUUAAAAGACGAGAAGACCCUAUAGAGUUUUAUAAUUUUAUUUAUUUUUAAUUUAUGUAAUUUUUUAUUUAAAAAUAAAUAAUAUUAUUUAGUUGGGGGGAUGGAAAAAUUUAAUUAACUUUUUUUUUUACAAAGCCAUUAAUUUAUGAAAAAUUGAUCCAUAAUUUAUGAAUAAAAGAAAAAAUUACCUUAGGGAUAACAGCGUAAUUUUUUUUUUUAGUUCAAAUAAAAAAAAGAGUUUGCGACCUCGAUGUUGGAUUAAGAUAAAAUUUAAAUGCAGAAGUUUAAAAUUUUGAUCUGUUCGAUCAUUAAAAUCUUACAUGAUCUGAGUUCAAACCGGUGUGAGCCAGGUUGGUUUCUAUCUUUAGAAAAAUUAAAUAUUUUAGUACGAAAGGAUUAAAUAUUAAAAAUAUAUUUUAAUAUGGGGAAUUUUAAUAAAUAUAAUAUGUAUAUAUAUAUAUAUAUAUAUAGUAAAUGUCAAUAAUAUU
rnacentral:rRNA from 1 species